UACGAAGGGGGCUAGCGUUGCUCGGAAUCACUGGGCGUAAAGGGUGCGUAGGCGGCGCGGUAAGUCGGGUGUGAAAUCUCGGGGCUUAACUCCGAAGCUGCAUUCGAGUACUGCGUGCUUGAGGACUGGAGAGGAGACUGGAAUUCAUGGUGUAGCAGUGAAAUGCGUAGAGAUCAUGAGGAAGACCAGUGGCGAAGGCGGGUCUCUGGACAGUUCCUGACACUGAGACACGAAGGCCAGGGGAGCAAACGGG
rnacentral:rRNA from 1 species